ensembl:lincRNA
UCCUGUGAGGAUGGAUUGAUAUCAAAGUCCCAACCCUCUAAUCACAUGGUUUGUCUUUCUAGCACGGCCGGAUUCCAUCCAGAAGUAAUCUGGGAACCCAUGUGAGUCUCAUUAGCACAAACACAGAUGGAGUCCCAGAGGUCCCUCUCUUCAUGUGAAGCUGGUGGCUCCCAGACUGGCCCACCACCAUCUGACUGCAUUCUCCAUGGCUCUUAAAUCAAUGUCGAGAAGGAGAGGCUCUGGUGAUCUAGACCUCAGGAGGAGCUGAGAUGCCUAACAACCAUCUAAUCAGUUCUGGACCCAAGGAAGGAACCUUUGUAGGCAUCAGGGAAGGUGGACAGAAACAUUCAAGAGGAGAAAGUACAUGUACUCUGCUGGUUUAGAAUGAGACAUGGAGCACAGCAAUUCAUGAGAAAAAGUUAGGCUGUCUCACAAAUUGUGGUCUGGACACUCAUUUCACUCUCUGUAACAACAGGAUCUUUUUGUGUCUUCCUCCUGGCAUCACCAUUCUUCACCUGAGUUGGGCUCUUCCCCCACUGAGGUGGAGUUCGUGUGUCUGUAUAGGAGUGGGGCUGUUCGAGGAGCAGCGGAACCUAAGCCUGGGCAAGGGAGAGGCAAGCCCUCCAAGGGGAAGCUACAUGUUGCCCAUUCUAACAGCGAGUACAGAAGAACUCAGAAUGGAGUUUAAUAAAGACAUGCUAAAUUACAUUUCAGUGAAAAUCCCAUGUGCCCUGGAACUUCCAAUGUCAUUUCUAUGAAAUAGACAAUUGCACGUCAUCUUUGCUGGAGAACAGAUCACAAGCACCUUGGCUCUUUCUGGUAUCACACUGAGCUACUAAAUGCAUUGGGAGAAGCAAUUAAAUGAUCUUCUUUCAUAUUCAGAAUUCCCUGUGUACAUAUUCUUCAAGGAAGAAGUCACACCAAAAAACAAAGUGACACUCUAAAUUCAGCCAAGAUAAAGGACCCUCGUUUCUGUUAUUUGUGUUUUCUAGCAUGUUACCCCUGAAGGUUAUAGAACUAAUUAUGAACAGAAUAUAGUGCUUCUAUCACUAAUGACCACAUUAGUUCAUAUAUUUAGAAAUAAGAAACAUUUAGGGAUGAUAAGAAAAAUCAGAACUGGAGGAGUUGAAUUAUUAAUGCAUUAGCUUAUCCAAAAUGAUAAUAGUAAUAAAGCCUGUGCAAUAUACCUGUUAUUGGAUUUAAAAUAAGAACACAAAACUCAAGUGGUCACUGGCUUUCAGUCACUUAUGUCUUGAUGGUUAUUGCUUUUGUUUUGUUUUGUUUUGUUUUGCUUUGUUUUCACCAUGAAGACUAUAAGUACAUGAGUCUGAAUACAAAGGACCUAUGGGAUUUUAAGAGAGAGCCUUGUCAUAGCUAUAAUCUCAUUCUGUCAGUAGUUCGCUAAAAGUGCACUGAGGGACUGCUUCAAAUUGUGUAACAGAUACACUGGUAAAUACCUACUUAGUAACAUGAAGGCAAGAUUUGUCCAUUGGCGGCCUAAAUGAGACUGUAGCCUCAUGGCAUUGGUUAGUUAUCCAAGAUUGGCAGGUGAUUGCUUCUGUUUAAGGAAGCUCAUAACUAUUCAAAUAUACAGUGAAAGUACUGAGUUCAAGUACUGCGUUCAAGCCAAGGACCAUUUGAGUUUUGUGCUCUUAUUUUAAAUCCAAUAACAGGUACAUUGUGCAGGCUGUGUCACUAUUAGCAUUUUGGAUAAGCUCCUACAUUAAUAAUAUAGCUCCUCCAGUUUUGAUUUUUCUAACUCCAAAAUGUUUCAGAUUCAUAGGGGUUUUAAUCUCAGACUCAUUGUCUGGGCCAGCUGACACUGACAACACCCUUCUGUAGUAUUUUCUUCAUUGGAGAUUUGUUGCUAUUUAAGCACUGUCAUAAGCUGUGGCAAGAGAUUAAAAACAGUUUCAUGUAAUUCAUCCAAACUUGUCAGUGAUGUUAUUCAGAUCUAGAAUUUGAACCAAGGUCAACCUAGUGUAUCUAGCAUCUUUUGGCCCAAAGGAGAUACAUUCUUAGAAUUUGGCCCUACCAGCUCCUAAGUUCUUUUGUAUUCGACAAAAUACUUAACAUUCAUUUCACUGAUGGUGUCCACACAAACACUUUUUGAAACCUUGCCAAUUUGGAAGAAAGGAAUUGAUAUUGCAGUGGUCUUGGAAAGGGAGACGAGUGUUACAAAGACAAGAUAAGUGUUUUUUUUUUUCUGUCAGGAUGUAACUUUGCAGGCCAUUUUUGAAUAGUCCAUAAGCGGAUCUAACUCUCUUCCAGUCUCAAGGGAUCGCCUCACUUUGGGGAUACAUGAGUCAGGGAGCUCAUGCUGGAGUUAGGCACCAUGCACAGUUAGAAGAUUCUCAACAGCACAGUUCUUAACACAAGUCUACAUAGGGCAUAGGUGCUUAAUGGCUACCUGUAGCAUGUAUUAAUUAAUCAACAUGUGAACAAAUUGUAGGAUUUCAAUCAGAUGCCUUAAUUUUUAAAAAUCCUAGAAAAGAUGAUGUAAUACACAGAUAUCCAUGUAGCCAAGCCUCUCUUCAAAAUUAAGAAAAUGAAUUUACAAUAUAUCAAUAUUUUAUAAUUUUUUCAAAUAUUUUAAUAAAGUAAAAC